rnacentral:rRNA from 1 species
AUGGAGGCCCUCACGCUCACCUCCCUCCUCAAGGCCGCCGCCGCCGCCUUCCCCGACCGCCGCGCCAUCGCCGUCCACGGCAAGAUCGACCUCACGCACGCCGCGCUCGACGCCCUCGUCGACGCCGCCGCCGCGCGCCUCGCCGCCGGCGCCCACGGGCUCCGCCCCGGCCAGACCGUCGCGCUCUGCUUCCCCAACACCGUCGAGCUGGUGGUGGUGUUCCUGGCGGUGAUCCGCGCGCGGGGCGUGGCCGCGCCGCUCAACCCGGCCUACACGCAGGACGAGUUCGAGUUCUACCUCUCCGACUCGGGCGCGCGCCUGCUCGUCACCGGCGCCGACGGCAACGCGCCCGCGCAGGCCGCCGCCGCCAAGCUCGGCCUGCCCCACGCCGUCGCCGCCACGCUCACCGACGCAGCAGGGCCGCUCGGCCUCACCGGCCUUGCCGGGGACAUCCAAGAUAACCACCCCGCGCCCCAGAACAACGGCACCGUCCAUCAGGACGGAGGCAACGAGCCGUCGGACGUGGCCCUGUUCCUGCACACCUCCGGCACGACGAGCCGGCCCAAGGGGGUGCCGCUCACGCAGCGCAACCUGGCGGCCUCCGUCCAGAACAUCCGCGCCGUGUACCGGUUCGCGGAGACGGACGCGACGGUGGUGACACUGCCGCUGUUCCACGUGCACGGCCUCAUGUGCGCGCUGCUGUCCUCUCUGGCGUCCGGCGCGUCGGUGGCGCUCCCGGCCGCCGGCCGCUUCUCGGCGUCCACGUUCUGGGGCGACAUGCUCGCGGCGGGCGCCACGUGGUACACGGCGGUGCCCACGAUCCACCAGAUCAUCCUGGACCGGCACGCGUCGCUGCCGGAGCCGCGGUACCCGGCGCUGCGGUUCGUGCGCAGCUGCAGCGCGUCGCUGGCGCCGGUGAUCCUGGAGCGGCUGGAGGCGGCGUUGGGGGCGCCGGUGCUGGAGGCGUACGCCAUGACGGAGGCCUCCCACAUGAUGACCUCCAACCCGCUGCCGCAGGACGGGGCGCGCAAGCCGGGGUCCGUGGGGCGCGCGGCGGGGUCGCUGGAGGUGGCGGUGCUGGACGAGGUCGGCAGCCAGGUCCCCGCCGGCGAGCGCGGGGAGGUGUGCAUCCGCGGGCCGAACGUGACGGCGGGGUACAAGACGGCCGACCCCGGCGCGAACGAGGCGGCGUUCCUGCACGGGUGGUUCCACACGGGGGACAUCGGGGUGAUGGACGGCGAGGGGUACCUCUCCCUCGUCGGGCGGAUCAAGGAGCUCAUCAACCGGGGCGGCGAGAAGAUCUCGCCGAUCGAGGUGGACUCGGUGCUGCUGGGCCACCCGGACGUGGCGCAGGCGGUGUCGUUCGGCGUCCCCGACGAGAAAUACGGCGAGGAGAUCCACUGCGCGGUGAUCCCCCGGGAGGGAACGAGCGUGGCGCUGGGGGAGGAGGAGGUGGUGGCCUUCUGCCGGAAGAACCUGGCGGCGUUCAAGGUGCCCAAGAAGGUGUACAUCGCCGCCGACCUGCCCAAGACGGCCACCGGCAAGAUCCAGCGACGCAUCGUCGCGCAGCACUUCUUCGUGCCCGCCGCCGCCGCCGCCGCCAAGGCCUAG